rnacentral:rRNA from 1 species
UACGGGGGGGGCAAGCGUUGUUCGGAAUUACUGGGCGUAAAGGGCUCGUCGGCGGCCAACUAAGUCGGAUGUGAAAUCCCCAGGCUUAACCUGGGAACUGCAUCCGAUACUGGAUGGCUUGAAUUCGGGAGAGGGAUGCAGAAUUCCAGGUGUAGCAGUGAAAUGCGUAGAUAUCUGGAGGAAUACCGGUGGCGAAGGCGGCAUCCUGGACCGGCAUUGACGCUGAGGAGCGAAAGCCAGGGGAGCAAACGGG